rnacentral:rRNA from 1 species
AGACAGCAGUCGCCGCGGUAAUACGGAGGGUGCAAGCGUUAAUCGGAAUUACUGGGCGUAAAGCGCACGCAGGCGGUCUGACAAGUCAGAUGUGAAAUCCCCGGGCUUAACCUGGGAACUGCAUUUGAAACUGUCAGGCUGGAGUCUUGUAGAGGGGGGUGGAAUUCCAGGUGUAGCGGUGAAAUGCGUAGAGAUCUGGAGGAAUACCGGUGGCGAAGGCGGCCCCCUGGACAAAGACUGACGCUCAGGUGCGAAAGCGUGGGGAGCAAACAGGAUUAGAUACCCGUGUAGUCCCUGUCUCUUAUAC